GGCAUGCAGGACUCCCUGGGCCGCAGGUGCGUCCUUCUUAGGCGGCCUCGUCUCCUCCGGCACAUUUAAUACAAGGCAGAGGGAUGCCCUUUGCUGUGGCCUGCAGGAAAGAUUAGAGGCACGUGCUCUUCAGAGUCUUUAUCUGGGCCUCUGGACUGCUGUUUUCCACCUUUGCUGCCUCUGCCUCCUGUACCCACACAUUCACAUGCACCAUGGGAUUUUGGAUAUGGUGGGGAGAAGGGGUGGACACAUGCCCCGGGGUGUGGCCUGCACUGUGCACAUGCAGAGGGUGCUUUUAAAAUAAAGUGCCGCGCUUUAGUAACAGCAGAGUCCCAGAGCAUGCAUCAUCACUCACGACUCCCUAACGCCCGCUCCUAGUAUGUUAUCCUCACACCGAGGAGAGGGCUAUUUUCACGGUGCCUGCCUGUUACUGGCUGCUCUAAAGUUUCUUCCUGCCAUGGUGGAUCCAGAAAAGUGAUCCGGCUGUGUCUGGCAGCUCCUCUGUCCAGCAGAGGUGGGAAGGGUAAAUGCAUCGGGUGGAGGGUAGUUUGUGGAAAUGUGCCUGGCACUAUCCCAGGCACAAAAUGAAGAUCUGAGCCUAUUGUAGAUGGGGAUUUAGGAGGAAAAGAUGGGAUUCUGAGCUAGUAGAUGGCACUGCAAACAGCCUGGCAUACUGCUUACAGAGCCUCUGCCUGCCCCAGUCCCUGAGAUGGGCAUAGAAGCCAGCCACAAGGAAAGGCAAAAUCACCUUUAACAGCAUGAACGGUUAUGAAUAGAUUCAGCACAGGAUACUCCACCAAUAAAAGACCAUUAGGCCUCAGAGCUGGGUAGAGGACUUGCAAAACUACUCCAAGAUUGCGAGGUAUUUAAGGCAACCUCACUCCCAGACUAACCUGGUGCCACUUGGCAAACACCACAAUUGCACAACUUCUGGAUGUUAACAUAGUCUACAGUCCAGUUGCAGGUGUCAAAGAAUGCGUCUGCUCCAGCCCUGCAGCCUGGGCUGCAGUUCCUUUUUCAAUCCUUGACCCUCAAUUUAUCUGCUGCUAUUAAAUGGCUAUGUAAUGCUUUCCAUCAGCACCUGAUGCUGGGUUAGGUUCAGAAGGAGAGCUCAGUGCCUUUGGGCUGACAGGUGGCUCCUGGAGCAAAGUCUAGGCAGCUUAUUAACAGUUAUGACAUCCCAGCCCGGACUCAGGCUCAGGUAUGGGCCCACACAGCUCUGCAGAUUCUUCAAGAACCCCCAGAGGAAGGUGAUGGCUGCAGGGCUGGAGCAGAUGCAUUCUUUGACACCUUCCCCACAAGUCCCAUCUGGGAGGAGGGGAGGAAGGUUAAUGGGGUUUCAAAGGGGAAAAUAAUAAGUCCUCCCCAGGGGCAGAGCUUGUAAACCAUCUGGUUUGGAUCACAUCUUCCAAAAUACAGAAACUGACUUUUAGCAGAGAGAGAGAGAGAACAUGACCCUCGCUGGCGUGGGAUGCACCCAGAGGUCAGCCUGGAACUCUCUGGUUCUCAUUUUAGGUUUGAAAGAGGAACAUAUUGGGCUCCAUCCCCAAGCAGAUAGCAUGAUCUGUGUGACGGUCUUUUUUUUUUUAAGUCAGUCGACUUUAUUUCAAACAGCAUUCCUUGGAUGAAGGUGAGGGUGUGUCUGCCAGAGCCUCACUCCAAAAGAAGGAGUGGGGGCAGGGUGGCUGCCCAGGCUUGGCUCAGGCAGUCAAUGAGGGUCAACCUCAUCCCUCAGCCAUCAAAAUUUGAAAGGAUUUGCUUGGUUUCAAACUACGUGCUGACUUGGAGGGCUUUCAUGGUUCCCUUGAGCUUCUCAGCCUCCUUUUCCUGUAAAUCAGUGCUAGCACUAACGAUAACUUCUUUAAUUCAGGAUUAACAAAAUUAAAUCUUCAAACAGACUCAAGUGUACUGAGUUUGAGCCUGAAAUACAAAUGUAAAAUGUACAGACAGCCUUUCUAUCUUUACUAUUUGUUAAACGCAUGCAAUUAACACAACCAAAGCAAGUCCUAUGUCUGUUCUUGAAAAUGUCUCCCCAUUUUACCCCUGGUGGUGACAAAUGUCAGAAAGCUUUAUAGAUUCAGGAUGCAUGCUCCAGGAGUCUGCCAUUAUUGAAGUUGAACAUUUUAUUAUAAAAGCACCUGACACACCGGGUGCAGUGGCUCACGCCUGUAAUCCCAGCACUUUGGGAGGCUGAGGCGGGUGGAUCACCUGAGGUCAGGAGUUCGAGACCAGCCUGACCAACAUGGUGAAACCCUGUUUCUACUAAAAGUACCAAAGUAGCCAGGCAUGGUGGCUGUAAUCCCAGCUACUCAGGAAGCUGAGACAGGAGAAUCGCUUGAACCCAGGAGGCAGAGGUUGCAGUGAGCUGAGAUCAUGCCAUUGCACUCCAACCUGGGCAACAAGACCAGAACUCCAUCUCAAACAAAAAAGAAAAAGAAAAAGAAAAAAAAAAAGCACCUGACAUAUUUACUGUUUCCCUGUGCACAGAGCUUGCUGUGUGUGCACAGCACUUUAUUUUAGAGUUGGGUAGGUAGGUCUUUCUCCCCUCCUGCCCAUUUCUUUUGUAUUUACUCAGUCCUUUUCCACCUGGUGCUUGGCAGUGUCAUGCACACCUUGGGCACUUACUGAAUACUCAUUCAUAGUGGUGAAGCCAUCCAUGGCUUCCCAGCAUUCACACCCUUCCCUGUGAGUGUGGCCACUGGCCCAAGCUCUGGGGGUCAGGUGUUACGGGGAAGAAGGAUGUGGGAAUACAAGUGGUAGCAGAGCUUUACUGUGUCAGGGUAGCUGCAUGGCACCUAGCUUCACUGUGCUUUGAAUAGCUCUUAACUGUGGUCUCCGUUGAAUGAUAUUUUAUACAUACCUGUAUCUUGGAUUCAAAAAUCAAAUAGACUAAAGAUUUUAUCUCCUGCCAGGCUUAAUGUCAGGUUAGCCAAGGAGAGAAUAUUUCGCCUGAGGAGCUGCAUCGUGGCCAGUAGCCUGACCAGUUCCCUUCGUGGGGAUCUGGGUUCCUGGAGCACCCAGCAUGGACUAGAUGAGCCUUCAGAGCAGAGUUUCUUAAACAGCGGAACUGCUGGCAUUGAGCCAGGGAUGGUGAGAUAGCACAGCAGAAAUAUUCUGAGCUCACGAAAGGAAUGCCGUCACUUAGAUCUGAGAGGUACUAUACCCCUUUCAAAGAAGAUCCCACAUGGGAAGACCUCCACUUGGGUAACUGGGAAAUUAGAGGUGACUACUUGCCCCACUGAAAUGAUUUUCCCUCAGCAAAAGGACUUCCUGCAGAGUUGUUUUAAACAAUAAGCCUCCCUUAGAGCAUUCAAAAUUACUCAAUGUAUAGUUAGUUAAAACUCCCAACCUAUCAGUCUCAUUACUGGCCUGUUCCAAAGGCAUUGGUGAAGGUCUGAGGAAGAUGGGUAAGUUGGUGAUUUGGGGUUAUCUUGCAAGAAGGACAGUGAUGGGGCCUGGUCUUCUUCAGGGGACCUAUUUCUCAGUUCAGAGAGCUGACCUCAUGAUUAAUGCAACUUGGAAAGGUGCACGAGUUCUGUGCAUAAAUUCUAUAUCCUCAGGCAAAAAAAAAAAAAAAAAAGACAAGGAAGAAAAAAAAGUGAGCAAACACAUGAGAAUAGAGAAGCUUUACAAUUUUUCUGGCUUCUGGUGGCAG